AACGAACGCUGGCGGCAUGCCUAACACAUGCAAGUCGAACGAGACCUUCGGGUCUAGUGGCGAACGGGUGCGUAACGCGUGGGAACCUGCCCUUAGGUUCGGAAUAACUCCCCGAAAGGGGUGCUAAUACCGGAUAAUGUCUUCGGACCAAAGAUUUAUCGCCUUUGGAUGGGCCCGCGUUGGAUUAGCUAGUUGGUAGGGUAAAAGCCUACCAAGGCGACGAUCCAUAGCUGGUCUGAGAGGAUGAUCAGCCACACUGGGACUGAGACACGGCCCAGACUCCUACGGGAGGCAGCAGUGGGGAAUAUUGGACAAUGGGCGAAAGCCUGAUCCAGCAAUGCCGCGUGAGUGAUGAAGGCCUUAGGGUUGUAAAACUCUUUUACCCGGGAUGAUAAUGACAGUACCGGGAGAAUAAGCUCCGGCUAACUCCGUG
rnacentral:rRNA from 1 species